GACGAACGCUUGCGGCGUGCUUAACACAUGCAAGUCGAACGGAAAGGCCCUGCUUUUGUGGGGUGCUCGAGUGGCGAACGGGUAAGUAACACGUGAGUAACCUGCCCUUGACUUUGGGAUAACUUCAGGAAACUGGGGCUAAUACCGGAUAGGAGCUCCUGCUGCAUGGUGGGGGUUGGAAAGUUUCGGCGGUUGGGGAUGGACUCGCGGCUUAUCAGCUUGUUGGUGGGGUAGUGGCUUACCAAGGCUUUGACGGGUAGCCGGCCUGAGAGGGUGACCGGCCACAUUGGGACUGAGAUACGGCCCAGACUCCUACGGGAGGCAGCAGUGGGGAAUAUUGCACAAUGGGCGGAAGCCUGAUGCAGCAACGCCGCGUGCGGGAUGACGGCCUUCGGGUUGUAAACCGCUUUCGCCUGUGACGAAGCGUGAGUGACGGUAAUGGGUAAAGAAGCACCGGCUAACUACGUGCCAGCAGCCGCGGUGAUACGUAGGGUGCGAGCGUUGUCCGGAUUUAUUGGGCGUAAAGGGCUCGUAGGUGGUUGAUCGCGUCGGAAGUGUAAUCUUGGGGCUUAACCCUGAGCGUGCUUUCGAUACGGGUUGACUUGAGGAAGGUAGGGGAGAAUGGAAUUCCUGGUGGAGCGGUGGAAUGCGCAGAUAUCAGGAGGAACACCAGUGGCGAAGGCGGUUCUCUGGGCCUUUCCUGACGCUGAGGAGCGAAAGCGUGGGGAGCGAACAGGCUUAGAUACCCUGGUAGUCCACGCUGUAAACGGUGGGUACUAGGUGUGGGGUCCAUUCCACGGGUUCCGUGCCGUAGCUAACGCUUUAAGUACCCCGCCUGGGGAGUACGGCCGCAAGGCUAAAACUCAAAGGAAUUGACGGGGCCCCGCACAAGCGGCGGAGCAUGCGGAUUAAUUCGAUGCAACGCGUAGAACCUUACCUGGGUUUGACAUGGAUCGGGAGUGCUCAGAGAUGGGUGUGCCUCUUUUGGGGUCGGUUCACAGGUGGUGCAUGGCUGUCGCCAGCUCGUGUCGUGAGAUGUUGGGUUAAGUCCCGCAACGAGCGCAACCCUUGUUCACUGUUGCCAGCACGUUAUGGUGGGGACUCAGUGGAGACCGCCGGGGUCAACUCGGAGGAAGGUGGGGAUGACGUCAAGUCAUCAUGCCCCUUAUGUCCAGGGCUUCACGCAUGCUACAAUGGCUGGUACAGAGAGUGGCGAGCCUGUGAGGGUGAGCGAAUCUCGGAAAGCCGGUCUCAGUUCGGAUUGGGGUCUGCAACUCGACCUCAUGAAGUCGGAGUCGCUAGUAAUCGCAGAUCAGCAACGCUGCGGUGAAUACGUUCCCGGGGCU
rnacentral:rRNA from 1 species